rnacentral:antisense_RNA from 1 species
CGGACCUCGCCUUUCCCACUUGGUUAGAGUCGGCUCUGCCGGGAAAAAGCGAUUCCAGAAUUCCCUAAGUUAAAGGAAUUUCUUACUCCUUCUUGAGCGCCAUCCAAGGGCCAGGCCUUAGUCUAGGAACUGGCAACACGGUAGCGACCACGUCAGACAAGAUCGCUGCCCUCAUUGAGUUACCAGGUUGGCAGGGGAAACAAAAAUGUAAUAAAUAACUGCACUUUGCAAGAAGAGCUAUGAAGAAAAAACAGGGUGAUGGGAGAGAGAAUGCUUGGAUGUUGAAGGGAGGCCUUUCUGAGAUGGCGACGUCUUGAGCUGAGUAAAGAAGGAUGAGAAAGGAUGGGGCUUGCAAAGUUCUGGCUUCAAAGAAUUCCAGGCAGAGGGAACAAGAGUGAAGUCUCCAGGGGAAGCCAGCUUAGUGUUUGGAGACUAGAAAGAAGGGGUGUGCGGCUGGAAGAUGGGAUGAGAAAACUAAAAAUCCAGGGGGAUUUUAGCAACUUGCCUACCUCACACAACUAGCAGCAGAGCCAGGAUUUUAACCCAGACAGUUCCAGGGCUCAGGUCCUUACCCUCUGGGCUGGCCUUCCCCCUCCACUGCCCCCGAUACCCUCACUUUUCUGAACAUUGGACUCAUUCCUGUAGCUGGAGGUAGAGGAUGGAAACUCAAAAGAUGAUUGAAGAUUAAAAAACAAGAUGAUUGAGGCUGGACUUCUCAAAACCUUGCUGCAGCCUGAGCUUGAGUGU